ensembl:snRNA U6 U6 spliceosomal RNA
GUGCUCGCUUCGGCGGCACGUACACUAAAACCGGAACGCUAAGAAAAGAUGAGCAUGGCCCCUGCGCAGGGAUGACACGCACAUUCUUGAAGUGUUCCGUAGUUUU